UCAUUAAAAAAAAAAAAACCAAAACAGAGAGCCCUCUCAGUCUCCCUUGGUCUCUCUCAGCCUUCCCCUGGCCGGCCAUGGUUGCCACCGUAACGCCGCCGUGGCCGGUGGCCGGCGCUGCGCGAAAGGGCGGUUUUAGCCCCGCUUUAGAUCCCGCUCGAAGGACAAGCCUUCUUGACCCAAAAGGCCAAAGGAAAAGGGGGUUUCACACCCCUUUUGGUCCGAUUUCGGCGACCAAAACGGCCUCCGGCGAUGGCUUGUGGGACCAUUCCAGGUGAUCUGACGCGCGUGGAGGGCCGACGAUAGGUGAGCAGCUGCGGUGGCGUGCGCAGGAGGCGUGCGGCGCUGGGGCUGGGCAGAGGCAGGAGCGGCGGCCAGCGGCAGCUAGGGAUUUUUUUGCUGAAAGUUUGUUUUGCAUUUGGGCUAGGGUUUCUGUUAUUGGGCCAUAGGAAAUUUGGGCUGUAAUGGACUGUGGUCUUUUGUUUAUUUUUGGUUUAUUUCGUUGGGCCCGGACAAAAAUGGGCAAUUACAUAUAUCAUUUGAUGGAAUUAGUAUUGAGGAAAAAAAUUCCUACGUAAAAUUAACAAACGUUUUUCCCA